rnacentral:lncRNA from 8 species
AUGUGUCUGUCUAUCCCUGUUCACUCCCCUCUGCACAGGCCAUACAAACGCUUCACACCGCGUGGCCGCUGCCACUCUAACCUGGUGGUCCCAGCGCGCACGACCCACGUGGAGUUCCAGGUCUCCGGCAGCCUCUGGAACUGCCGGUCUGCGGCCAACAAGGCUGAGCUCAUCUCAGCCUAUGCUACCCUCCAGUCCCUAGACUUCCUGGCGCUGACGGAAACAUGGAUUACCACAGAUAACACUACUACUCCUACUGCUCUCUCUUCGUCUGCCCACGUGUUCUCGCAUACCCCUAGAGCAUCGAGCCAGCGGGGUGGUGGCACUGGAAUCCUCAUCUCUCCCAAGUGGACAUUCUCUCUUUCUCCCCUGACCCAUCUGUCUAUCUCCUCAUUUGAAUUCCAUGCUGUCACAGUUACCAGCCCUUUCAAGCUUAACAUCCUUAUCAUUUAUCGCCCUCCAGGUUCCCUUGGAGAGUUCAUCAAUGAGCUUGACGCCUUGAUAAGUUCCUUUCCUGAAGAUGGCUCACCUCUCACAGUUCUGGGUGACUUUAACCUCCCCACGUCUACCUUUGACUCAUUCCUCUCUGCCUCCUUCUUUCCACUCCUCUCCUCUUUUGACCUCAACCUCUCACCUUCCCCCCCUACUCACAAGGCAGGCAAUACGCUUGACCUCAUCUUUACUAGAUGCUGUUCUUCCACUAAUCUCAUUGCAACUCCCCUCCAAAUCUCCGACCACUACCUUGUAUCCUUUUCCCUCUUGCUCUCAUCCAACACUUCUCACUCUGCCCCUACUCGGAUGGUAUUGCGCCGUCCCAACCUUCGCUCUCUCUCUCCCGCUACNNNNNNNNNNNNNNNNNNNNUGGCCCCCCUACCUCUGAGGAAGCACAGUUCCCGCUCAGCCCAGUCAAAACUGUUCGCUGCUCUGGCACCCCAAUGGGGGAACAUGCUCCCUCACGACGCCAGGACAGCGGAGUCAAUCACCACCUUCCGGAGACACCUGAAACCCCACCUCUUUAAGGAAUACCUAGGAUAG